rnacentral:lncRNA from 1 species
GGGAUCUCCCAGAAGUAACCCUGAGAAGGGUCCCCCAUGGUAUUCCCCAGGCCAGGAGGAAGGUGAGGCAAGCAAGGCACUUGCCCAUCAUGCAAAAGGCUCUUCUGUUUCAUGACUCAGCACAACACUGCUACUAAUCCUGUCUUUAUUUAAAAUUUUAAUAUUUUGGCUGGGAGCUGUGGCUCACGCCUGUAAUCCCAGCACUUUGGGAGGCCGAGGCGGGCAGAUCACUCACAAGUUCGAGACCAGCCUGGCCAACAUGGUGAAACCCUGUCUCUGCUAAAAAUACAAAAUUAUCCAGGCAUAGUGGCGCACACCUGUAAUCCCAGCUACUCAGGAGGCUGAGGCAGGAGAAUCACUUGAACCAGGGGCUGGAGGUUGCAGUGAGCUGAGAUCGCACCAUUGAACUCCAGCCUGGGCAACAAGAGCAAAACUCU